GACGAACGCUGGCGGCGUGCCUAAUACAUGCAAGUAGAACGCUGAAGAGAGGAGCUUGCUCUUCUUGGAUGAGUUGCGAACGGGUGAGUAACGCGUAGGUAACCUGCCUGGUAGCGGGGGAUAACUAUUGGAAACGAUAGCUAAUACCGCAUAAAAUGGAUUAUCGCAUGAUAAUCCAUUGAAAGGUGCAAAUGCAUCACUACCAGAUGGACCUGCGUUGUAUUAGCUAGUUGGUGGGGUAACGGCUCACCAAGGCGACGAUACCUAGCCGACCUGAGAGGGUGGUCGGCCACACUGGGACUGAGACACGGCCCAGGCUGCUUCGGGGAGGAGCAGGAGGGAAUCUUCGGCAAUGGGCGGAAGUCUGACCGAGCAACGCCGCGUGAGGGGAGAAGGUUUUCGGGUCGGAAAGCUCUGUUGUAAGGGAAGAACGAGUGUGAGAGUGGAAAGUUCACACUGUGACGGUAUCUUACCAGAAAGGGACGGCUAACUACGUG
rnacentral:rRNA from 1 species